rnacentral:rRNA from 1 species
CCUACGGGAGGCAGCAGUGAGGAAUAUUGGGCAAUGGACGGAAGUCUGAACCAGCCAUGCCGCGUGCAGGAAGAAGGCUCUAGGAGUUGUAAACUGCUUUUGUACAAGGGUAAACCUGAAUACGUGUAUUCAGCUGAAAGUACUGUACGAAUAAGGAUCGGCUAACUCAGUGCCAGCAGCCGCGGUAAUACGGAGGAUCCAAGCGUUAUCCGGAUUUAUUGGGUUUAAAGGGUGCGUAGGCGGAUUGACAAGUUAGAGGUUAAAUGUCCGCGCUUAACUCGGGAACUGCCUUUAAAACUGUUGAACUAGAGUGUAGGUGAGGUUGGCGGAAUGUAUGGUGUAGCGGUGAAAUGCUUAGAGAUCAUGCAGAACACCGAUUGCGAAGGCAGCUUACCAAUCUAUAUCUGACGUUGAGGCACGAAAGCGUGGGGAGCAAACAGGAUUAGAUACCCUUGUAGUC